rnacentral:rRNA from 1 species
GUAGUCCACGCUGUAAACGAUGAUAACUAGGUGUUCGGAACGAUUGGGUUCUGAGUGCCCAAGCGAAAGCGAUAAGUUAUCCACCUGGGGAGUACGUCCGCAAGGAUGAAACUCAAAGGAAUUGACGGGGGCCCGCACAAGCGGUGGAGCAUGUGGUUUAAUUCGAUGCAACGCGAAGAACCUUACCAGGCCUUGACAUCCUGCGAACUUUCUAGAGAUAGAUUGGUGCCUUCGGGAGCGCAGUGACAGGUGCUGCAUGGCCGUCGUCAGCUCGUGUCGUGAGAUGUUGGGUUAAGUCCCGUAACGAGCGCAACCCUUGUCCUUAGUUGCCAGCACAUAAUGGUGGGAACUCUAGGGAGACUGCCGGUGACAAACCGGAGGAAGGUGGGGACGACGUCAGGUCAUCAUGGCCCUUACGGCCUGGGCUACACACGUGCUACAAUGGGCGGUACAGAGGGCAGCGAAGUCGCGAGGCCAAGCAAAUCCCUUAAAACCGUUCGUAGUCCGGA